UCGGGGAGAGAGGGGAAGGGGACAUCACGGUUGAAGAAUUUGAGAGAGACAGUGGCUCCCAUUUUUGACUCGGAGACAGCUGAGUGUCGCUGUGGCGAGGGAAGAGGAAGGGGACAGAGUGAGUGGUGAGGAUGGAAACAGAGAGACUGACAGAUUGGAGAUAGAUGGGAGCUACGGGUUUGGUGCCAGGGUCUAUAGGAUUUUCUGCGAUUUUAGACAGAGGAAUGAACAAAGAGAGAUAUACAGAACGGAAAGCAUGCGUGUGUGCAUUGUUUAGGGUUCAGAGGUUACGCACAGAGUCGGUGAGGACGGGAUGGGUGAGGGAGGAAUGGCAGGGUGUGGGUUUUCAGCUUUCUCCCUUGAUUCAAAAGAUCCAACACAACCAUACAGAUCAAACCAUCCAUUCACACAGGAGCCACAAAACAGACCAUUAGUGAGAAACAGAGUCUCAUCCGCUCGAAUCUCGAUUUCCUAGCAGCAGAAAGUUGGAUCGUUAGCCGGAAAACUUGCCCCUUUGACUUUUGAGGAACCCUGAUUCUGGGAGGAAGAAUACACUGCAUUGCCAUUUUUAGGUUCACGUACAAGGUAAAGUUCCAUAAGGAGGUGCAAGCAGAAGAAGAAUUGGCAUCACCCUUCAGUUUUUCAACCAAAAGGAGUUUAGAUCAAGGUGUUAUUGCAACGUUGUGAUCUGCUCUUCUUGCUGCCUUUCAUCUAGGGAUCCACACCUAUUGCAUCUGAAUCAAGGCUUUGGUAGAUAAAAUGGUCAAAGAGAUUGAUCGAAGCGAACAACAAAUUCUAGGAGGAGUUUUGGUUAAAAAUUUAAAGGAACUGAUUGAGGCUCGAAACAAUAACAGGAUUCGAAGAACGAUACAGAUAUAUAGAGAAACUCCCCCAUGACCCAAUACAAAGAAAGAAGUCAAAAUAGAAAAAACAAGGAUGGGUUUGCGUGUUUAUGGUAAGGGUGCAAACCGAAACAAAUUGGUCGUCCACACUAUCCAUUCACCUGCAAAUCGUAGUAAUUCACCGAAAGAACAACUUCCGUUGAAUGAAGAAGUUUAACAUUUUUUUUGGCGGGUUUUCGGUGGGAUCUACAAGUUUGGUUGUUGCUACAAAAUUGGAAUUUUGUUGCUCUUUCUUGCCUCCACCGUAACAUCCUUCUGGGUUUUUAAUGUAUAGAGACUUAACGGGUGUUAGAUAAGAUAAACGCCAUGUAAACCUCUUUUGUUUGGUCAUAACAUCAAUAAUGUAAACAAUUAACCCUUUUACCGUUCAAGGAUGAAGUGUUGGCGUGCUAGGAAUAUGUUUCUCUGCU